CUACGUGCCAGCAGCCGCGGUAAUACGGAGGGUGCGAGCGUUAAUCGGAAUAACUGGGCGUAAAGGGCACGCAGGCGGUGACUUAAGUGAGGUGUGAAAGCCCCGGGCUUAACCUGGGAAUUGCAUUUCAUACUGGGUCGCUAGAGUACUUUAGGGAGGGGUAGAAUUCCACGUGUAGCGGUGAAAUGCGUAGAGAUGUGGAGGAAUACCGAAGGCGAAGGCAGCCCCUUGGGAAUGUACUGACGCUCAUGUGCGAAAGCGUGGGGAGCAAACAGGAUUAGAUACCCUGGUAGUCCACGCUGUAAACGAUGUCGAUUUGGGGGUUGAACUUUGAGUUUGGCGCCCGUAGCUAACGUGAUAAAUCGACCGCCUGGGGAGUACGGCCGCAAGGUUAAAACUCAAAUGAAUUGACGGGGGCCCGCACAAGCGGUGGAGCAUGUGGUUUAAUUCGAUGCAACGCGAAGAACCUUACCUACUCU
rnacentral:rRNA from 1 species